rnacentral:rRNA from 1 species
UUACACUACAAGAGUGUAUAUUUUAUAUAUUCCCGAAGUAAGAAGAUCCUAAUUAUAUAUUAAUAUAUUUUCGGCCUAUUUGAAUAGUAGUAUAUAGUGUAGCAUAACUAUACAAAGAAUAUUAAUUAGUGGUGAAAGGCUAUCCAAUUCUUAUUGAUAUCUGGAUUAAACUAAAAAAUAUUUAGUAUUACUAGGACAUUUUUACAACACUAAGAUUGUAAAAUCAUAAGAGCUCGUAUAUUCUUCAGUUUAAAUGCAUUAUUAAUAUAAAUGCGUAAAUAGACUAUGGAAAAAUAUCUUUACGGUAUAACUUUUAUUAUUAUAGGUUUAUAGGUUUAUUAAUUCUUUGAAAUAUUUUAAUAAUGUUUAAAUGAGUAUAUAAUAAUAUAUGAGAAUGUAAGGAACUCGGCAAAACAUUUCCCUCAACUGUUUAUCAAAAACAUAGCUAGUUGUAUAUUAUAAUUAGUAGUUCUCUGCCCAGUGAGUAUUUUAACGGCCGCAGUACACUGACUGUGCAAAGGUAGCGUAAUAAUUUGGCCUUUAAAUGAGGUCGAGUAUGAAUGAGUGAAUGGGGGAAUGCUGUCUUAUAAUUUUUAUUUAAAAUUUACUUAGGAAGUGAAAAUUCUUCUAGAUUUAACUAAAAGACGAGAAGACCCUAAAAAUUUACUCUAAAGAGGCAAAUAAAUAAUUUUCUUUAUGUUUUUGUUGGGGCAACAGGUUACUAAAUAUAUAUAAAGUAAUUAAUGGUAUAAGUGUACUAAUUUAACGAGUUUUACUAAUAAUAAUUAAAUUACUUUAGGGAUAACAGCAUAAUUUUAUUAAAAAGACUUGUGACCUCGAUGUUGGAUUAGGUGCUAUUUAAGUAAGCCAUUUAAAUAUGUGGUUCUGUUCGAACUUUAAUUACCU